rnacentral:rRNA from 1 species
UACGUAGGGUGCGAGCGUUGCCCGGAUUUAUUGGGCGUAAAGGGCGCGUAGGCGGUCACGCACGUCCGUUGUGAAAUCGCUCGGCUCAACUGGGCGCGGUCGGUGGAAACUGGUCAACUGGAGGACGGUAGAGGCGAGUGGAAUUCCCGGUGUAGUGGUGAAAUGCGUAGAGAUCGGGAGGAACACCAGUGGCGAAGGCGGCUCGCUGGGCCGGACCUGACGCUGAGGCGCGAAGGCGUGGGGAGCGAACGGG